rnacentral:rRNA from 1 species
UGCAAGUCGAACGAUGAUCCCCAGCUUGCUGGGGGGAUUAGUGGCGAACGGGUGAGUAACACGUGAGUAACCUGCCCUUAACUCUGGGAUAAGCCUGGGAAACUGGGUCUAAUACCGGAUAUGACUGAUCAUCGCAUGGUGGUUGGUGGAAAGCUUUUUGUGGUUUUGGAUGGACUCGCGGCCUAUCAGCUUGUUGGUGAGGUAAUGGCUUACCAAGGCGACGACGGGUAGCCGGCCUGAGAGGGUGACCGGCCACACUGGGACUGAGACACGGCCCAGACUCCUACGGGAGGCAGCAGUGGGGAAUAUUGCACAAUGGGCGCAAGCCUGAUGCAGCGACGCCGCGUGAGGGAUGACGGCCUUCGGGUUGUAAACCUCUUUCAGUAGGGAAGAAGCGAAAGUGACGGUACCUGCAGAAGAAGCGCCGGCUAACUACGUGCCAGCAGCCGCGGUAAUACGUAGGGCGCAAGCGUUAUCCGGAAUUAUUGGGCGUAAAGAGCUCGUAGGCGGUUUGUCGCGUCUGCCGUGAAAGUCCGGGGCUCAACUCCGGAUCUGCGGUGGGUACGGGCAGACUAGAGUGAUGUAGGGGAGACUGGAAUUCCUGGUGUAGCGGUGAAAUGCGCAGAUAUCAGGAGGAACACCGAUGGCGAAGGCAGGUCUCUGGGCAUUAACUGACGCUGAGGAGCGAAAGCAUGGGGAGCGAACAGGAUUAGAUACCCUGGUAGUCCAUGCCGUAAACGUUGGGCACUAGGUGUGGGGGACAUUCCACGUUUUCCGCGCCGUAGCUAACGCAUUAAGUGCCCCGCCUGGGGAGUACGGCCGCAAGGCUAAAACUCAAAGGAAUUGACGGGGGCCCGCACAAGCGGCGGAGCAUGCGGAUUAAUUCGAUGCAACGCGAAGAACCUUACCAAGGCUUGACAUGAACCGGAAAGACCUGGGAAACAGGUGCCCCGCUUGCGGUCGGUUUACAGGUGGUGCAUGGUUGUCGUCAGCUCGUGUCGUGAGAUGUUGGGUUAAGUCCCGCAACGAGCGCAACCCUCGUUCUAUGUUGCCAGCACGUGAUGGUGGGGACUCAUAGGAGACUGC